rnacentral:rRNA from 1 species
UACGUAGGGGGCUAGCGUUGUCCGGAUUUAUUGGGCGUAAAGAGCUUGUAGGCGGUUUGUCGCGUCUGCUGUGAAAUUUCGGGGCUCAACCCCGAACUUGCAGUGGGUACGGGCAGACUAGAGUGUGGUAGGGGAGACUGGAAUUCCUGGUGUAGCGGUGAAAUGCGCAGAUAUCAGGAGGAACACCGAUGGCGAAGGCAGGUCUCUGGGCCACUACUGACGCUGAGAAGCGAAAGCAUGGGGAGCGAACAGG